rnacentral:rRNA from 1 species
CGAGCACGCGCGUGUGGCAUAUCAAUAAGCGGAGGAAAAGAAACUAACAAGGAUUCCCUUAGUAACGGCGAGUGAAGCGGGAAGAGCUCAAAUUUGAAAUCUUCAAGGUUCUACCUUGACGAAUUGUAGUUUAUAGAAGUGUUUUCUGUUAGUGGAGUGGCAAAAGUCCUUUGGAAUAGGACAUCAUAGAGGGUGAGAAUCCCGUAUUUGGUCAUUCCUCCUAGCGUUGUGAUACACUUUCAACGAGUCGGAUUGUUUGGGAAUGCAGUCCAAAAUGGGUGGCUAAAUUUCAUCUAAAGCUAAAUAUUGGCGAGAGACCGAUAGCGAACAAGUACCGUGAGGGAAAGAUGAAAAGAACUUUGAAAAGAGAGUUAAACAGUACGUGAAAUUGUCAAAAGGGAAGCGUUUGACACCAGUGUUGUUUUUCCGAAAAUCAAUUACGAAUGUUUUGUUUUUGAGGAGUUAUGACUUCAUCGGCUUGCUUCCUUUCUUUACUGAAACUUUCUUAAUGCACUUUUCGGUUAACAAGUCAACAUCAAUUUCUUUUGUUGUAAAAGGGUAUGAGGAAGGUGGCUUUCUUUUCGGAGAAAGUGUUUAUAGCCUUGUGCCUCUGCAAUCGGAGAGAUUGAGGUCUGCAGCGUAGAUCCUUCGGGGUUAGAUACGUUUGUGCUAAGUUAUAGCUUUUCAUAGACAACUUGUUGACUAUGUUUAGUCUUGUAGCUUACUCGCUGACGCUAUUUUACCUACGCUUAGGAUGUUGAACUCUAUCACACACAG